rnacentral:lncRNA from 1 species
CAACACUGGCCAUCAUUUACACCAACCCCCAAAGUUUGUCACUGCCCAGCUGCACAUUCCGAUCGAAUGGCUUUAUUUACAUAAGAGAGGUGGCCCCACUGAGUUGCAAAUGAGUGUCAUUUGGCGGCCUCUGGGCAGGGCAGCAGGAGUAAGAAAACCUUGGGCAUGCUAGUGUUAAACCAGCGUGAGCAACAAUCCCACUCGCAGUAUGUUAAAGCACUGAAAAUUCACCUCCAAGAAAGUUAUCAGUUGGCUACCAAAAGUGCUGCAAAAGCUGCUGAAAGAAACAAAGUGAGGUAUGACAAACAUGUUACUGAAUCUGCGCUCGAUGUUGGCGAUCGUGUGCUUGUGAAAAAUGUCAGACUCAGAGGUAAAAACAAAUUGGCUGACAAGUGGGAGUCCACUGUUCAUGUUGUCAUAAGUCAAAAGGACAACUUACCUGUGUAUACAGUUAAGCCUGAACAAAAAAUUGGUCCCACUCGUACUCUUCAUAGAGACCUCUUGUUGCCCUGUGGUUUCUUGCCAACUUUGCCUGAGCCUUCACCUGUAGUAAAAGAAAAACCCCGCAGGCCUAGCACACGCCAACAUCCUGCACAUGAUUCUGAACAUGAGUUUGAAUACGACUCCGAGGAAAGUGAUAGCUACCCACUGUAUUUCCCCCCAAGUCCUCUCAAGGAAAUCUCAAGGACAGUUGAGGAAUACAUAGUAGUCCAUCCUCCCAAGUAUGGCCAAAGUCCUACUGUUGAGCAAAUCGCAUCUGAUAAUUCAGUUCCAAAUAUUGAGGAAAUUCCUGAAAAUGCUCCAGAGGAUGUGAAUGAACCUGAACAUGACAACCUACCUGAUUAUGACAAAACACCUGAAAAUGACAAAAACACCGAUAGUGGAAACUUAACAGAUUAUGGAGACAAAACUGAAAGUGAAAUGGAAAACUUGCCUGAACCUGAAAUGAAAGGAGUAAAUGCAAAGGAAACAACAAAAGAUGAAGUAAUCAUAAAUAUUGACAAUAGAAAUGAUACAAAUGAUCCUGACACAGAGCAAAAUGUCAGAAGAUCUCUGAGAGAAAGAAAGACACCCAAACAGUUAACCUACCCACAGUUGGGUAAUCCUCUUGUUACUAUAAUUCAGUCUCUUUUUCAAAGCCUGAGUGAAGCUGUCACAGAUUCUAUUGAACUGCAUGAAGUGAAAGUAGUCUGAACUAUGCAUUAUGCAAAGGGACUUGCAUAGAGUUAAGAGGGGAGGGUGUAACCCAGGUUAAGUGUUUAUCAAAGUGAAAGUAUGUUAUAAAUAGUAAUAAAAAAAGAAAUAAAUAAAUUUGAAAAAAGAAUUAUUAAAUAGGUAAAUAUGCUAAAAUGUUUUAAAACGUUUUUCAUAUUUUAUUUAUUUAUAAGAAUUUGUUAAAAGUUUAAAACUGUUAAUUCGUGG